rnacentral:rRNA from 1 species
UAGUGGGGGAUAACGUCCGGAAACGGGCGCUAAUACCGCAUACGUCCUGAGGGAGAAAGUGGGGGAUCUUCGGACCUCACGCUAUCAGAUGAGCCUAGGUCGGAUUAGCUAGUUGGUGGGGUAAAGGCCUACCAAGGCGACGAUCCGUAACUGGUCUGAGAGGAUGAUCAGUCACACUGGAACUGAGACACGGUCCAGACUCCUACGGGAGGCAGCAGUGGGGAAUAUUGGACAAUGGGCGAAAGCCUGAUCCAGCCAUGCCGCGUGUGUGAAGAAGGUCUUCGGAUUGUAAAGCACUUUAAGUUGGGAGGAAGGGCAGUAAGUUAAUACCUUGCUGUUUUGACGUUACCAACAGAAUAAGCACCGGCUAACUUCGUGCCAGCAGCCGCGGUAAUACGAAGGGUGCAAGCGUUAAUCGGAAUUACUGGGCGUAAAGCGCGCGUAGGUGGUUCAGCAAGUUGGAUGUGAAAUCCCCGGGCUCAACCUGGGAACUGCAUCCAAAACUACUGAGCUAGAGUACGGUAGAGGGUGGUGGAAUUUCCUGUGUAGCGGUGAAAUGCGUAGAUAUAGGAAGGAACACCAGUGGCGAAGGCGACCACCUGGACUGAUACUGACACUGAGGUGCGAAAGCGUGGGGA